rnacentral:rRNA from 1 species
GAUGAACGCUAGCGGCAGGCUUAAUACAUGCAAGUCGAGGGGCAGCAUGAAUGUAGCAAUACAUUUGAUGGCGACCGGCAAACGGGUGCGGAACACGUACACAACCUUCCUAUAAGUGGGGAAUAGCCCAGAGAAAUUUGGAUUAAUACCCCGUAACAUAAUGAUGUGGCAUCACAUUAUUAUUAUAGCUUCGGCGCUUAUUGAUGGGUGUGCGGCUGAUUAGAUAGUUGGCGGGGUAAUGGCCCACCAAGUCUACGAUCAGUAGCUGAUGUGAGAGCAUGAUCAGCCACACGGGCACUGAGACACGGGCCCGACUCCUACGGGAGGCAGCAGUAAGGAAUAUUGGUCAAUGGACGCAAGUCUGAACCAGCCAUGCCGCGUGAAGGAUUAAGGUCCUCUGGAUUGUAAACUUCUUUUAUCUGGGACGAAAAAAGGCUAUUCUUAGUCACUUGACGGUACCAGAUGAAUAAGCACCGGCUAACUCCGUGCCAGCCGCCGCCGUAA